CCUACGGGGGGCAGCAGUGGGGGAUAUUGCACAAUGGGGGAAACCCUGAUGCAGCGACGCCGCGUGGGUGAAGAAGCGCCUCGGCGCGUAAAGCCCUGUCAGCAGGGAAGAAAAUGACGGUACCUGAAGAAGAAGCCCCGGCUAACUACGUGCCAGCAGCCGCGGUAAUACGUAGGGGGCAAGCGUUAUCCGGAUUUACUGGGUGUAAAGGGGGCGCAGACGGCGAUGCAAGCCAGGAGUGAAAGCCCGGGGCCCAACCCCGGGACUGCUCUUGGAACUGCGUGGCUAGAGUGCAGGAGGGGCAGGCGGAAUGCGUGGUGGAGCGGUGAAAUGCGUAGAUAUCAGGAGGAACACCGGUGGCGAAGGCGGCCUGCUGGACUGCAACUGACGUUGAGGCCCGAAAGCGUGGGGAGCAAACAGGAUUAGAUACCCUAGUAGUC
rnacentral:rRNA from 1 species